CCUACUCCAUGGACAAGGAGGACAACCCUGAGAUUACCAGGCGGACAUGGACGCCUCCAACGAGGCCUAAACUCUCCACUAUGACCACACAAGGUGGUCAUCCUGCUGUUGCAAAGAUUUUCAUUUGUUUGCCUGCAGCACGGCCAGUUGCAUGGUUUCACUUUUUUCUAUCUACAAGCCCUGCUAGUAGUGACUUCCUUCCAGGGUUUUUAUCUAUGUUCCUGCCACAUCAAACAAGCUUUCCUCGGUUGAUGGUAUAUACAUCAAAGUGGUGUUGUUUGCAACACCUAUUUAGUUACACUGAAAAAAAGAUGAAUGCCUCUUCUUCUAUACAUAUAUGUUUGUGAAGGAAUGAAGGAUGAAUGACAUUUACAUGAAUGAAUGAUUUACACACUAGUAGUCCUUGACCUGCUUCUUGGCAUCGGCAAGUAGUAUGAUGCUACUAUCUGAUCAGUUGUGUUACUGAAUGAUUGUUUGUGCCUUUAUUUGAUCUGCCUGCCGUGAGCUAAUAAUCCGUUAUAUUGUACUCCCUCCGUCCCAAAAUUCUUGUCUUAGGUUUGUCUCGAAAUGAAUGUAUCUAAAUACUAAAACAUGACUAGAUACAUUCAUAUCUAGAUAAAUCUAAGACAAGAAUUUUGAGACGGAGGGAGUGCAUGGACAACACUGUAGGACAAUGUUUCAGACCUUUUUUUUGUUGCUAUUUUUUAUGGACUCAAACUAUUGUUCAAAUUCAUAUCAUAUUUGCUCCUGCUGCAUGAUGUGUCUGUUGUUCCUGAUUGGUCACUUGAGGUUGUUUUGCUGACGAAUGAUUGGUACUAUUUCAGUUUGUGCCUGAUAUAGCUAGCUGCUCGCUUUUAUUUCUUACCUAAAUAAAAUUGCUACUGCAUAGACAUUGUUUGGAGAGAGAUGAUUGUGCUAGUACUAUAGCUCACUUUAUGUGUGGUAGAGUUGCUACAUGUCGAGUGGAGUUUAUGCAGGGGAUCAUUUGCAGCUGAGCACCUCAUGUUAAAAGGAGAUGCUACAGGUGUUUGCCCUUUCUCCUGUAUUUUUGGGAGUAAUUGUUUGUCUUCUGGCCACUACAAUAUAGAUGAAAUGUCACAAUAUUCAUUGAAGCUGAUAUUGUUUUGUUGUUGGGAGCACCUUAGCAUGCACAUUGUCUCCUGUAGCUUUGCACUGUCCAUCUAAUACACCAUCAUAUUUACUGUUUAGGUUAUAUAUGGAUUUGCAAACCUGUAUAUUGAGAUCCUUGGCUUGUGUCACUUCUAUAACUGUAUGUAUUAGCAUAGCUCGAAAAUUCCAUCUGUAUCAUGAUACAGGAUAAGUAGUGUCACAUAGACCUCUCGUAAUCUGGUUGUCUUUGAAAAGUGAUGAUUUAAUAGAUCUAAGCAGAUCUCUUGUUUCUCAAAUUCUAUCACGCGCUACUAAUGCAUAUUUCUUUGUUUCAACACACAGCGGUGUGCCUCUUCCCUGGGCGCCACUCUCCCGCUGCUCCUCUGACCCAAGUGCCGACAAAAUGGGCUCGCCAAGGCACACUUCAUGGACGAGGAGGACC